GAUGAAGAACGCAGCGAAAUGCGAUACGUAAUGUGAAUUGCAGAAUUCAGUGAAUCAUCGAAUCUUUGAACGCAUAUUGCGCUCUCUGGUAUUCCGGAGAGCAUGCUUGUUUGAGUAUCAGUAAACACCUCAACUCCCUUUUCUUUUUUGAAAUUGGAGCUGGACUUGAGUGAUCCCAACGCUUUCUUCCAGGAAAGUGGCGGGUUGCUUGAAAUGCAGGUGCAGCUGAACUUUUCUCUGAGCUAUAAGCAUAUCUAUUUAGUCUGCCUAAAAAACAGAUUAUUACCUUUGCUGCAGCUAACAUAAAGGAGACUAGUUCUUGUGCUGACUGAUGCAGGAUUCACAGAGACAGCUUCGGCUGACUUUGUAAACUCGAUCUCAAAUCAAGUAAGACUACCCGCUGAACUUAAGCAUAUCAAUAAGCGGAGGA
rnacentral:misc_RNA from 1 species